GGCGGUUUAGUAAGUNUGAAGUUAAAGGCAUUGGCUCAANCAAUGUAUGCUUUGGAAACUGUUAGACUUGAGUNCAGAAGGGGAGAGUGGAAUCCCAUGUGUAGCGGUGAAAUGCGUAGAUAUAUGGAGGAACACCGGUGGCGAAAGCGGCUCUCUGGUCUGUCACUGACGCUGAGGCUCGAAAGCGUGGGUAGCGAACAGGAUUAGAUACCCUGGUAGUNCACGCCGUAAACGCUGAGUGCUAGGUGUUAGGUCCUUUCCGGGACUUAGUGCCGACGCUAACGCAUUAAGCACUCCGCCUGGGGAGUACGACCGCAAGGUUGAAACUCAAAGGAAUUGACGGGGGCCCGCACAAGCGGUGGAGCAUGUGGUUUAAUUCGAAGCAACGCGAAGAACCUUACCAGGUCUUGACAUCCCGAUGCCCGCUCUAGAGAUAGAGUUUUUCUUCGGAACAUCGGAGACAGGUGGUGCAUGGUUGUCGUCAGCUCGUGUCGUGAGAUGUUGGGUUAAGUCCCGCAACGAGCGCAACCCUUAUUGUUAGUUGCCAUCAUUAAGUUGGGCACUCUAGCGAAACUGCCGGUAAUAAACCGGAGGAAGGUGGGGAUGACGUCAAAUCAUCAUGCCCCUUAUGACCUGGGCUACACACGUGCUACAAUGGUUGGUACAACGAGUCGCAAGCCGGUGACGGCAAGCUAAUCUCUGAAAGCCAAUCUCAGUUCGGAUUGUAGGCUGCAACUCGCCUACAUGAAGUCGGAAUCGCUAGUAAUCGCGGAUCAGCACGCCGCGGUGAAUACGUUCCCGGGCCUUGUACACACCGCCCGUCACACCACGAGAGUUUGUAACACCCAAAGUCGGUGAGGUAACCAUUUAUGGGGCCAGCCGCCUAAGGUGGGGNGGA
rnacentral:rRNA from 1 species